ACGAGACGCGACGACGGCAGCGGCAGCAGCUGUAGUGCCGGAGGCAGCGGCGGAGGCCGAAGCCGGAACCCUCCUGACGUCACGUCCGACCCGAAACCAGAUGAAGCUUUUCUGAGGGAAGAUUACGAAGACGAGGUAUUCCCUGGCUCUCAUCCCUACCUAGUAAAGCACCCUGUCAGUAUCUUCAGUUAAAGUUAGACCUGGCCUAGACGUGUGAAACAGAUUUCACACCCCCAAUUCUCUGUCUUGGAAGAAAAGAAAAAAAAAAAAAAGCAUUUAUGCUAAA